AGAGUUUGAUCCUGGCUCAGAAUCAACGCUGGCGGCGUGCCUAACACAUGCAAGUCGAACGAGAAAGUGGGAGCAAUCCCAUGAGUAAAGUGGCGACCGGGUGAGUAACACGUGACCAAUCUACCCUCGAGUGGGGGAUAACUCCGGGAAACCGGAGCUAAUACCGCAUAAUAUCAUGGGGGCGCAGGUUCCGAUGAUCAAAGGAGCAAUUCGCUUGAGGAGGAGGUCGCGGCUGAUUAGCUAGUUGGUAGGGUAAUGGCCUACCAAGGCUGAGAUCGGUAGCCGGCCUGAGAGGGCGCACGGCCACACUGGAACUGAAACACGGUCCAGACUCCUACGGGAGGCAGCAGUGGGGAAUUUUGCGCAAUGGGGGAAACCCUGACGCAGCAACGCCGCGUGGAGGAUGAAGUCCCUUGGGACGUAAACUCCUUUCGACCGGGAAGAUAAUGACGGUACCGGUGGAAGAAGCACCGGCUAACUCUGUGCCAGCAGCCGCGGUAAUACAGAGGGUGCGAGCGUUGUUCGGAA
rnacentral:rRNA from 1 species